UUACGGCAAUAUCACAUUAAGACACCAGUUGCCGUACGAUCACCGUAUUUAAGUAACGUGGAACCUGGUCAGUACCUGGAUGGGUGACCACUUGAGACUACUGAGUGCUGUAAG